rnacentral:lncRNA from 1 species
GAUAAACAGUUUGCUUUUGGCAGUAACGUUUUUUGGAGUUCGUUUUGCCUUAGAGAUUCUUUGGUUUUGCGCUGACGGAUGCCAGCAGCAAUACAAAUCGCUCUGAGAUCGCUUCUGAAAAGAAAAACAGUUACUGAAACAGACGAGUGGUAGUGCUGUGAAAAGAAAGAGAGAAUAGUCAAUGUAUCAACUAAUGACAUUUCUGGAUUCCUUAAUUGAUAAAAAAUUCUUCUGGGGGGGGAAUGAUCUAGUAGACAAAGCCAUUGCUUCUGUGUUUGAAACACAGGAGCACACCAACAUUGACCACCUUAUGCUCUUCAUUUCAAAAAGAGUGAAGUCUUUCCCUCCAGAACAGCAAAGAAAAGCAUCUUGAGGACUUGCCAAUUUUAUGUUUGAUUUGAUGGAUGACAAUGAAUAAACCCUAAAUAUGUCCUUUAUUAUUGUGUUAUUAAAAGUGUAUCGAUAAGUUUAAUUUGUCUAACAAGAAAUUAAAUAUUUCAUUCAAGGCUUGUAUACUACUUACAUGUCCUGAGCAAAACUAAUUCCUUAAAUUUCUUAUGAGCAUGUAAUCUUAAAUUCAGUUAAUACGAAGUUUAUUUGAGGGGAAAAAAUAAGAUUACUUCUGUAUAUUCACAUUAUAUUAAGUAUAUAAAUCUUAUCACCUAUGAUUGUAAAAACAAUGGAUACUUUUUAAAUAAAUAAUACUAAUAAUUCACACAUGCA